ensembl:lncRNA
AGAGAACUGGGUUACAGGUGAAAGUGGCUGGUAGCGGAGUUUUUGGCUCCUUCGUUUCUCCACCGAGUGAUUGAAGCGUAUAAUAAUGAUUAUAGGCAUCAUUUUAAGCCGAUUGGGCAUCCUGGGAAGCGAGGAAUAGGACUAAGGAACUCCGAUGGGACAUCUGCAGGCUUCAGUAGCACAGUGGCCUAGUAACUCUCAAAGAGAAGACCGACCGGGAAAUUAGUAACGAGGUUGGGCAAGAAAAUAAGAAAUUAGGUAACGAGGAUGUAGAAGUGAACUACCGUUGACGUCUUCCGUUUUGAGUCAAGAAGGCAACCAUGUUUUUUUGUUCCGCCCCUCCACCCCUGUUGGGAUAUUGGCAAGUUGUCAUGACGACAGGGAUGUUCUGCUGAUGAAGUCCCGCUCCUCGUUGUCCAAUCAGAUUGUGGAGUCUAAAACUGCAGUACGAAACAGGAGAGGACGCACCUAUUCCAGUUGCACAAUGCCGAGAAAGGACAGCCCGAUCCUGGACCACCUACGGACGGAAUGGACGAUUUGGGGGAGACCGUCAAUGGGGCCGCCAUGGCUCGACAAAACACAGCGGGGGUCGAGGAUGAGGGGCUGCCAGGCUAUGGCACAAAGGAUCACUCUAAUGUUGACCCAUGGAAAGGAGCUGUCAGAAGAUUGGAAGCGGCCCAGUGUGGGCCACUGGGAAUGGGUUCUGUCUGGAGAGGCUUGUCAAGGAACCAGGCUUGUGUCUGGAUGACAAUGGGACAAGGGGACAUCUGGACCAGUCGAAGACUGACUUUUUCGGUCCAGACUGACAUCGGCCAUCUUGAAAGUGAGAGGCAUGAAGAUGUGACGUUCAGUGUCCUCCAUUUUUGUUUUUUAUCCGUUGUCCUGUCACUCUUUUGGCCCCGCUCCAGGACCCAUUAUUGAGUGCAUGACUUUGCAUGUUGUAAUGUAUGUUGUCAACAUGUUGACGUAUCGCGAGUGUCAUUGUUCAUAUUCAGGUCAUUAUUGGCUUGUAAAGUUGAGCUUUUUUCAGUUUUGUACUUCAUAUGAUUUUUUUGUUUUUCAUUUUUCAAUCAUUCUAACCUAUUUUGUCAACGAACGUUACUUUGUGGGGGGCUAUUCUUCAAAGUUUGUUUAUUUCUCCGUCAAUGUUAGACCCCGGUCCGUUGGCGGUCUGUUGGGCAAACUCCACAGUCCUCCAGGGUUGAACAUCCCCUCAGCUGUGUAGGAGGUCGAUAUUCCAACGUCUCCACACUGCAAACUAGGCCUGCGCCUCUGAGGAUUUGGCAGGGGCGAGGCAGGGACGGCGGUAGGGUCUGACUGGGUUUCGUUUGGCUGCCGUGGGGGGGACUGUGGUUUGGACUGAUGUGUCGCUACUGCCUUGACCCCUGUCACUCUUCAUAUCAGCAGACCAUGGGGAAUGUUGAAAUCUGUUGGCCACCGAUGUGACAUAACCCCUCACUUCCUAAUCAAUGUACCGUUACUAUAACACAUCUGGUUAUAAAGGGGUUACACAAUUGCUCUGAAUAUUCAUGGAUACGUUGCAGGCACAGGAUCUGUAAUCACUAGAGUUACAUAUGAAUAAUCAUAAACCGGGUAGUUUGGGUCCUGGAUGCUGAUUGGCUGAAACAGCAGUUCAGCCGUGUGUGUAUCAGACAAUAUCCCAACUGUAUGAUGCAAAAAUACUGGUUUACCGCUCUAAUCAUGUUGGCAAUCCGUUUCAAAUAUAAAUAAGGCACCUCGGGCCAGUAUACCACGGCUAAGGGCUGUAUCCAGACACUCCUCGUUGCAUCGUGCAUAAGAACAGCCCUUAGCAGUGGUAUAUUGGCCUUAUACCACACCCCUCGGGACUUACUGCUCCAGUAUAGUCCAGUAUAAUCUAUAACUACCAGCACAUGUACCUAUGCUAUGACAUGUGUAUUUAUAAAGGCUUUAUAAACCCUUAAUAAACAGUCCAUAACAG